rfam:Streptosporangium roseum DSM 43021, complete genome.
GAUAGGUAACCGGGAUACGUUCCGGGUGUUUUGUGGCGGUGCGAGGGAAAUCCGGUGAGAUUCCGGUGCGGUCGCGCCACUGUAACCGGGCCUUCGGGGCCGGGAGCCAGGUCACUCGGCCGCCACCGACCUACGAA